GGCGAACUGGUGAGUAACACGUGGGUAACCUGCCUCGAAGCAGGGGAUAACAUUUGGAAACAAGUGCUAAUACCGUAUAACAACUCAAACCACAUGGUUUGAGUUUGAAAGAUGGUUUCGGCUAUCACUUCGAGAUGGACCCGCGGCGUAUUAGCUAGUUGGUAAGGUAAUGGCUUACCAAGGCGAUGAUACGUAGCCGACCUGAGAGGGUAAUCGGCCACAUUGGGACUGAGACACGGCCCAAACUCCUACGGGAGGCAGCAGUAGGGAAUCUUCCACAAUGGACGCAAGUCUGAUGGAGCAAUGCCGCGUGAGUGAAGAAGGGUUUCGGCUCGUAAAACUCUGUUGUUGGAGAAGAACAGGUGUGAGAGUAACUGUUAACUUCUUGACGGUAUCCAACCAGAAAGCCACGGCUAACUACGUGCCAGCAGCCGCGG
rnacentral:rRNA from 1 species